GUGUUAUCACGAGUGGUGGAGGGAAUGGCCCUUUGAAACCACAGCAACCGGUCCUGACGUUCAGGAUGACAGGUGCUAAUUCCACCCCCGCAAGGGGACAGAUGAGAC
rnacentral:ncRNA from 22 species